rnacentral:rRNA from 1 species
CCUACGGGGUGCAGCAGUGAGGAAUAUUGGUCAAUGGCCGGAAGGCUGAACCAGCCAUGCCGCGUGAAGGUCAGUGCCCUAUGGGCGUUAAACUUCUUUUGUGCGGGAGCAAUAAUGGUCACGUGUGGCCAGACGAGAGUACCGUACGAAUAAGCAUCGGCUAACUCCGUGCCAGCAGCCGCGGUAAUACGGGGGAUGCAAGCGUUAUCCGGAUUUAUUGGGUUUAAAGGGUGCGUAGGCUGUGAGGUAAGUCAGCGGUGAAAUGCCCCCGGUCAACGGGGUGAAGUGCCAUUGAUACUGCCUGGCUGGAAUGCGGAUGCCGUGGGAGGAAUGUGUGGUGUAGCGGUGAAAUGCAUAGAUAUCACACAGAACACCGAUUGCGAAGGCAUCUCACGAAUCCGCGAUUGACGCUGAUGCACGAAAGCGUGGGUAUCAAACAGGAUUAGAUACCCGUGUAGUC